rnacentral:tRNA from 1 species
GGCACGGUGGUGCAGCGGUUUGUGCUGUUGCCUCGCAAGGUUCUGGGUUCGAGUCCCGGCCGGCCA